rnacentral:rRNA from 1 species
AGUCACUGACAUUAGAUACCCGGGUAGUCCAGGGUGUAAACGCUGCAGACUUGGUGUUGGAAGCCCUUUGGGGGCAUUCAGUGCCGGAGAGAAGUUGUUAAGUCUGCUACUUGGGGAGUACGUCCGCAAGGAUGAAACUUAAAGGAAUUGGCGGGGGAGCACCGCAACGGGAGGAGCGUGCGGUUUAAUUGGAUUCAACACCGUAAAACUCACCAGGGAAGACUGUUACAUGAAGGCCGAGAUGAAGACUCCGCUAGAUUUUCAG